UAGUUUCAGCCUCCAGUCCUUGCUGCCAA
rnacentral:piRNA from 1 species